CGGGAGAAGAAGGUAGGUACCUGGAUGAUUCAGAGAACGAAGCGUUGAGGAAGAUUGAGAGAUCGAUAUUGAAUUGCAAAAUCGUUGAGAGAGAGAGAGAGAGAGAGAGAGAGAUAGAGAGAUAGGUUUUCCGAGGCUGAAACUGAAUUUGGUAGAAUUAGGGUUUCGACGAAAACAGAGAUCUGAAAAGAAAUG